CUUCCCCAAUCCGCUGCCUCCUUUCCUCCCCCAAUCCCCACCUCUGCUCCUCCUCCUCCCCCAAUCGCCCCCAUCUCCUCCUCCGUCUCCACUUAUGGUCGGGGCGCCGCCUCCUCUCUACCUCGUGCCCUCCUCCUCCCACUCCGCCACCUCCGCUUGCGCUGCACGCCGCUGCUCCGAGGACCAUUGACGAGGUGAGGACAGCGGUGCCAUCGGACCUGCCGACCCGGAGCCCGCGCCCUCCUGACCAAGCACCGUCCGCCUCCUCCCCCUCCCCUUCCCAUCCAUGCUCGCGGCCGUCCCCGGCCACGCCGGCCGCCAUCGCAUCAUCGCACGGAGGGACUUGGUCGGGUGCUUUCGUUCUCCAGCCAGCUCAGGAACAAUGGCGGUGGUAAAGCCCUCCUCUCCUCUCCUCGAUUCCUUAGAUUUUCUGCAUGAAACGAUUCUUUGUAGUCACAGCCAAGAAGAGACCGAGUAUGCUUAGUUGGUUUCUUUUUCUUCAUAUAUGUUGUUAGAUCUUAGAUGUGCUGCCAUCUUGCUGUAGGCAGUGCAAUUUCUCCUGCAAUCUGGAAACUUUGGUUUCUGUAUUGUUUUUUAGGAGUUGCCAAAUGUGAUCUUUGGACAAGGGAGUGAUGGUUAGCCCUUAGCAGUCUUCAAUUCUGGAUCACUUCAAUUGAUAAUUGCUUCAUUAAUGUGAUUUUUUUUCUUGUUUGGCAUAAUCCCACACUUCAGGAUCUGGCAAGAAUUAAUUGGAUAGUCUAGGUCUGGUCGUGCGUUAAAUGGUGAAGGGGCCGCCCACAAGGUACUAGGUCCAAUUUCAUCGAAAUGCUACAUCUACCUGCUGCCUAAUACACUUGUUCACAUACAGUUUUUUGCUUUUGUUUUCACUGAUUCACUUUUCUCGGCAUCUUUGUGUGGGUCUCUUUUUAUGGCCAGCUUGACAAUUUGGAGUCGUUCAACUCAGAAAGAACAAAGAAUGCUCAUGUCAACCUUGGUUUUUUUACAGUAGUUGGUAAUCACUCUGAACAAUAGUAGAUCGGUAAAGCCAAUAGUAGUUAGUUUGAGGCUGCUUUUAUCUCUCCUACAAUAGUUCAUUUCAAUUGUUCUUAGUUUUUACUGUAGUUGUUAAUUUGAUUACCUAUUUACAAGAAAUAAAAAUCAUUCAUAUAUGCCAUCUUAUUCUUAUGCAAUAAUCUGAAAUCUAUCUUGUCAUACCAGGUCUCCUGUUUUCAGGGGCCAUAACUAUAACUACAGUUUUAACUGAUGCGAUUAAGGAUGGUGUUGGUCGGCCACGUCCAGAUUCCUUUUGGCGCUGUUUUCCUGUCAGAGUAUCCUUCACACAUAGCAAUACUAUUCUCAUUAGCUCAUCCAUGGCAAUACCGUUCUAUGCACUAAUCGGCAAUGACACAACUCCACAUAGCGAGUACUAGAAAGCAUGAUAAUGUUUUAGGGCAUUUUUCUACUUUGUGCAAGAAAUUUAAUUUGAUGGGAUAUGCGACCUGUUCUCUCUUGAUUAUGUGCGAUUUGAUGGAUAUGUGACCUGUUCUCUCUUGAUUAUGUGUGGAUUUUAAUACACAAUUAUUUCUCUAGAAGGUAACUUGAUUGACAUUGUUUUGUUAUUUCUAUGUGCAGAAAAUGCGAGCUCGGCUGAUGGAUUGCAUACUAUUUGGCUGAGUUGUUUUGUUCUAAAGAUACAAUCAAGCUGAAGACUUCUUUUGUAUGGAAAUUCACUAUGGAAACUGAAAUAAUGGGUACUGAAUCAACAGUUACAUGAAAGUUUGAUGCCGUGUGAGUAGCAGAAACUGAAAGAAUAAGCAUUAGUCCUCAGAGAAGAGGUUGACAUUAUAUGCCCCUUCAGGUAAUCAAUUUGCGUCUUUAAUCUUUCCGUGUUUUUCUUUUGUUUUUUUACUUUAAAAUAGAAUAACGACAGCCAAGCUAAUUCCAUUUUUUGUGCAUGAUAUAUUUUGAUCUCAAAUGCAUUUCAAUGGCUCGAUGUUCCAUUCAAUCUUUUUUUGCCAUGUAUCUUCCAUUUAGACAUACUGGAUGACCAACUCUUCAUAUUUCUGUCAUGUAUUUUCCAAUUAGAUGGAAACUAAUAACCAAGGAAACUUAUUUUAACAGUUGCAGCAGCACCUACUAAUAUUUGCCAAUAAAUUAUCCAUGAUAUGUAUCUUCCAGUUUAUUAAUUACCAAAAAAUGAGGAUAACAGUGGACACCCCAAACUGUAUCUCUGAAUCUUAAUUGUUCAACCUUAAUGCUUGAAAUGUUCCACAUGAUGUUUGUUGGUAGAAAGAUUCAAGCAUAUAUGCACUUGGAAUGCCUUGGUAAUUGAUGAUUUUGCCAUUUGGAGCCCACUUAGGAUGCUUUGGUAAUUAGCAAAAUGAAACUGUUCAAGCAAAAUCAUUUUAUCAUUAACACUCUUGGCAUUCUCUUGCAUCAGAAGGGACCAAUGGUUUUGCCAUUUGGGAGCUCAUGCUUAUGUGCUCGCUUUUGUCUUUCCUCUGAUGUUCAUCGUCUCAAGGCUACUGGCCUAGAAGUAGUCAUAUGCAAGUUCUGGUUAUCGCCCCUAUCCUCUUUCCUGCAGAGUGUGCUGCUUAUUCUCUCAAUUCCUCUGAAGUCUGUACUUCCUGCUCAAUUUGGAAUGCAUGAUCAGAGAGAUAUGGCGAGGGAGGUGGAGAGGAAGUUGUUGGUGAUCUUGAAGAAUGGCAAGACGCCGAGCGAUGCGCCGCUGCACCAACUGCCCAAGACGCUGAGCGGCGCGCAGCUGCUGCCGCUGCCCAAGAAGAUGACAAGCACAAAUGAUGGUUUGAUCUGUGUGCAGUUGCUUUAUUUAUUUCUUAAUCAGUGGAGAUCAUUUUUAUUAAUUAUUUUGACACGACCUCUAUGCUUUCUGUCAAGAGAUUGUUUUUGUACUUGCUUAUUUAUUGUUAUCUACCAUUUUUAAAUCUUCUGCAGCAUAGCAUAUGCAGUACUAUACUCCUAUUAUGCAAAGACUUCGGGAGGAUUAGCAGUUUCAAAUUCUACUAUCGAGUUGUUUGCUCUUUUUGAAUUACAAAUGCCUACCCAAGGUGUUAUUUUCUCACAUCCUAACCUUUUAAGAUAAUAUUCAGAUGAACUUCUGCAUGCAAUGUCCUGGGCAUGUGCUUUUGAGCAAUUUUUGAAUAAAGAUACCGACAUUUUUUGUUUCUAUUUCCAGCACAGCUUACUCUAACCAAUCCUAUUACUAUUUGUGUUCCUGAGAUUUCCACUAAUUUCGAGCAAUAUUUGAAUAAAGAUAUCGACAUUUUAUUGUGUCACUUGUGUUUACUUUUUUUCAAUGCAAGUUUACAGCUACUCGGAGUUCCUAAUUGUAGACUCACCUAUCUUGUCCUACCGGUGAUCUAAAUUGUGGCAUUAUUACCUUAAGAAGAUAUUUGCAUUUAAUUUCCUUUAUAUAUAAGGGGUAUAAGUUCUUACCAAAUAUACUCAAAUAUACGAUUAUUAAAAAAAUGCAAAUAUUUUCAACAGGAACAUGGUUUUAAACGGGUCUUUGCGCCAUUUGGCGCAACUGGUCAUCUAGUUCAAAGAAAAAGUCAAACGCUGACAUGACAAAAGGAUACAAAAGCGAGAAUUUAACGUAGGUGAUUAUGUGUUAUUAUUCA